CAGGAAACAGGUAGUGAAGAACAGGUAGUGAAGAACACUAGGCGUUAAAGGUUUAGACAACCUGAAGUGACUGAUACGAGAUGACAUAAAGACACGGCUGUGGAAUUUGCGACGGGGGUUUCAUGACACGCUGACAUGUUGAGAUUCUCACUGUGUGAGCAGCAGGUUGAGGAACAUCUUGGUCGUGAGGUGUCUGCCUGAGCUCCUCGUUCUCAUCCUGAUCUGAGGAGAAGCUGAUGUGUGCUGGAGAUCUCUGGAGUCUCGGGUGCCUUUCCACCAGCGACCGGCUCGAAACGAUCUGCAACGAACAAAGCACACACAUCCUCAACGAUACACAAUGAACAGAACUUUCCAAUGGGCAGAGGUCAGGGAGAGGGGUAAGUAGGUGAAUUAGUAAUUAGUAGGUGAAUCAGAGCUGAGUUUAGAGCUUCACUGAUUUAUAAACUCUUAUUAGUGAAAUGCUUCAAUUACUGAAGUAACGUUUACAAAAAAAAUCAAAAUAACUGGUCAAAAUGCAGCAGCCCACUAAAUCCACUGCUCCUUAUUUAGUCACCAUUAUAAACAACAUUGUAAUUAAAUGCCUUGAGUGUUUAAAGGGGUAAAUUAUGUGGAUUAUGGGGCACAGUUAUGAUCUGCUUACUUUCUGGCUUGGUGUCUUCUGGGUCUCUCUGGGUGGAGAACAAUCCACAGAUUUGGAGUCGGAGUGAGAGAGCUGCCUCCUCCUCAGCACACCAACACACUGUAACGUUACAUGUGCACUGACACUGAGCACCGCUUCAUCACAGUACGUACAAUGCAUCAGCGAUGUUACAUUAUGGAGCGACAGAAAAACAUAUAAGACGAAGCCGAUGAUGUCGCAGAGAAGAGCGAGCUUUCUUUCGGCGAAACCGAACUGCAGGAAUUGCUGCUUAGUUAACAGGGGUUUGUAACUGAAGAGAUCACGCAGGACCUAACACACACACACACACACACACACACACACUUUAAAAAAUCUAGCUAACAAAGUAAAAGC